rnacentral:rRNA from 1 species
UACGUAGGGUCCUAGCGUUGUCCGGAUUUAUUGGGCGUAAAGAGCUCGUAGGCGGUUCGGCAAGUCGGAUGUGAAAUCUCCACGCUUAACGUGGAGGGGCCAUUCGAAACUGCCGUGACUCGAGUCCGGUAGGGGAGAGUGGAAUUCCUGGUGUAGCGGUGAAAUGCGCAGAUAUCAGGAGGAACACCGGUGGCGAAGGCGGGUCUCUGG